rnacentral:rRNA from 1 species
AGCAGCCGCGGUAAUUCCAGCUCCAAUAGCGUAUAUUAAAGUUGUUGCAGUUAAAAAGCUCGUAGUUGAAUUUCGGGGUCAGUAGGUUGGUCGUGCCACCGGUACGUACUGGUCUCACUGAUUCCUCCUUCCUGAUGAGCUGUAAUGCCAUUAAUUUGGUGUUGUAGGGAAUCUGGACUGUUACUUUGAAAAAAUUAGAGUGUUUAAAGCAGGCUAACGCUUGAAUACAUUAGCAUGGAAUAAUGAAAUAGGACGUUCGAUCCUAUUUUGUUGGUUUCUAGGAUUGACGUAAUGAUUAAUAGGGAUAGUUGGGGGCAUUAGUAUUCAAUUGUCAGAGGUGAAAUUCUUGGAUUUAUUGAAGACUAACUACUGCGAAAGCAUUUGCCAAGGAUGUUUUCAUUAAUCAAGAACGAAAGUUAGGGGAUCGAAGACGAUCAGAUACCGUCGUAGUCUUAACCAUAAACUAAUGCCGACUAGGGAUCGGAUGAUGUUAAUUUUUUAAUGUACUCA